rnacentral:rRNA from 1 species
GCAACCCUUUACCGUUAGUUACCAUCAGGUUAAGCUGGGGACUCUAGCGGGACUGCCACCGUAAGGUGAGAGGAAGUGGGGAUGACGUCAAAUCAGCACGGCCCUUAUGUCCAGGGCUACACACGUGUUACAAUGGCCGGUACAAAGGGCAGCUACUUCGCGAGAAGAUGCUAAUCUCGAAAGCCGGUCUCAGUUCGGAUCGAAGUCUGCAACCCGACUUCGUGAAGCUGGAUUCGCUAGUAAUCGCGCAUCAGCCAUGGCGCGGUGAAUACGUUCCCGGGCCUU